AAUUUUUAAAUAUUAAUAUUAGAAAACAAGACAAAAAACCCUAGGUAAGACAAUAAUUUUUUGCAGUGUGAGGGAGAAGAACCAAGCCCUGAGGGAACGUAGUGAACGAGCAGCUUCGGAUGACAGCGGCUCACUUUUGGCGUGGCUUGACAACACUUUGAGGCAGGAUAAAAAGCUCCAGGAACAAUUUCUUUAGAGUAUCUUCUCUAAUCACCUUUCCAUUAAUACAACCUGGACUGGUGUAGGGAAUCAAGCAUGUUUUAGAGACCUGUUUCUGAAGACCAUUGUUCAAAG